rnacentral:rRNA from 1 species
CGGAGGGUGCAAGCGUUAUCCGGAUUCACUGGGUUUAAAGGGUGCGUAGGCGGGCAGGUAAGUCAGUGGUGAAAUCUCAGAGCUUAACUCUGAAACUGCCGUUGAUACUAUCUGUCUUGAAUAUUGUGGAGGUAAGCGGAAUAUGUCAUGUAGCGGUGAAAUGCUUAGAUAUGACAUAGAACACCUAUUGCGAAGGCAGCUUACUACGCAAUCAUUGACGCUGAGGCACGAAAGCGUGAGGAUCAAACAGGAUUAGAUACCCUGGUAGUUCACGCCCUAAACUAUGGAUACUCGACAUCAGCGAUACACAGUUGGUGUCUGAGCGAAAGCAUUAAGUAUCCCACCUGGGAAGUACGACCGCAAGGUUG